UGCAAGUCGAACGCGUUGGCCCAAUUGAUUGAUGGUGCUUGCACCUGAUUGAUUUUGGUCGCCAACGAGUGGCGGACGGGUGAGUAACACGUAGGUAACCUGCCCAGAAGCGGGGGACAACAUUUGGAAACAGAUGCUAAUACCGCAUAACAGCGUUGUUCGCAUGAACAACGCUUAAAAGAUGGCUUCUCGCUAUCACUUCUGGAUGGACCUGCGGUGCAUUAGCUUGUUGGUGGGGUAAUGGCCUACCAAGGCGAUGAUGCAUAGCCGAGUUGAGAGACUGAUCGGCCACAAUGGGACUGAGACACGGCCCAUACUCCUACGGGAGGCAGCAGUAGGGAAUCUUCCACAAUGGGCGCAAGCCUGAUGGAGCAACACCGCGUGAGUGAAGAAGGGUUUCGGCUCGUAAAGCUCUGUUGUUAAAGAAGAACACGUAUGAGAGUAACUGUUCAUACGUUGACGGUAUUUAACCAGAAAGUCACGGCUAACUACGUGCCAGCAGCCGCGGUAAUACGUAGGUGGCAAGCGUUAUCCGGAUUUAUUGGGCGUAAAGAGAGUGCAGGCGGUUUUCUAAGUCUGAUGUGAAAGCCUUCGGCUUAACCGGAGAAGUGCAUCGGAAACUGGAUAACUUGAGUGCAGAAGAGGGUAGUGGAACUCCAUGUGUAGCGGUGGAAUGCGUAGAUAUAUGGAAGAACACCAGUGGCGAAGGCGGCUACCUGGUCUGCAACUGACGCUGAGACUCGAAAGCAUGGGUAGCGAACAGGAUUAGAUACCCUGGUAGUCCAUGCCGUAAACGAUGAGUGCUAGGUGUUGGAGGGUUUCCGCCCUUCAGUGCCGGAGCUAACGCAUUAAGCACUCCGCCUGGGGAGUACGACCGCAAGGUUGAAACUCAAAGGAAUUGACGGGGGCCCGCACAAGCGGUGGAGCAUGUGGUUUAAUUCGAAGCUACGCGAAGAACCUUACCAGGUCUUGACAUCUUGCGCCAACCCUAGAGAUAGGGCGUUUCCUUCGGGAACGCAAUGACAGGUGGUGCAUGGUCGUCGUCAGCUCGUGUCGUGAGAUGUUGGGUUAAGUCCCGCAACGAGCGCAACCCUUGUUACUAGUUGCCAGCAUUAAGUUGGGCACUCUAGUGAGACUGCCGGUGACAAACCGGAGGAAGGUGGGGACGACGUCAGAUCAUCAUGCCCCUUAUGACCUGGGCUACACACGUGCUACAAUGGACGGUACAACGAGUCGCGAACUCGCGAGGGCAAGCAAAUCUCUUAAAACCGUUCUCAGUUCGGACUGCAGGCUGCAACUCGCCUGCACGAAGUCGGAAUCGCUAGUAAUCGCGGAUCAGCAUGCCGCGGUGAAUACGUUCCCGGGCCUUGUACACACCGCCCGUCACACCAUGAGAGUUUGUAACACCCAAAGUCGGUGGGGUAACCUUUUAGGAGCCAGCCGCCUAA
rnacentral:rRNA from 1 species